GACGAACGCUGGCGGCGGGCUUAACACAUGCAAGUCGAACGGAAAGGCACUGCGUGUGUGGGGUGCUCGAGGGGCGAACGGGUGAGGAACACGUGAGUAACCUGCCCUUGACUUUGGGAUAACUUCAGGAAGCUGGGGCUAAUACCGGAUAGGAGCUCCUGCUGCAUGGAGGGGGUUGGAAAGUUUCGGCGGGUGGGGCUGGACGCGCGGCUGAUGAGCUUGUUGGUGGGGGAGUGGCUGACCAAGGCUUUGACGGGUAGCCGGCAGGGGAGGGUGACCGGCCACAUUGGUCCUGCGGUACGGACCAGAGUCCUACGGGGGGCAGCAGUGGGGAAUAUUGCCCAAUGGGCGGGAGCCUGAUACAGCAGCGCUGCGGUCGUGAUGACGGCCUUCGGGUUGUAAACCGCUUUCGCCUGUGACGAAGCGUUAGUGACGGUAAUGGGUAAAGAAGCACCGGCUAACUACGUG
rnacentral:rRNA from 1 species